GAAUGUUCUGUGGAGACUGGGGACUCUCCUCUCCAAGUGGUCCCUGCUGGCCAGGGUUCUUCUGCACAGCAGGAGCAAGUGUCCCAAACCCUGAUGGAGCCACGAACACCAGCUCUGGUGGCCCAUGCCCACCUGGACACUUCUGCCCAGCUGGCUCAAGUAUCCCCCAGCAGUGCCCUGUGGGCACUUAUUCAGACAGGCCGUACAUGUGGCAGGAAUCCAGCUGCAUGGCAUGCCCAUCUGGCCAUUACUGCAGCUCUGCUGCCCUCACUGCACCCUCAGGGCGCUGCUCAGCUGGGUUCUACUGCUUGGCUGGAGCUUCCUCUCCAUCACCACCUGGUGUGUGGGAGGCAGGAGGCCCCUGUCCUGUGAGCCAUUUCUGCCCAGAAGGAGCCAGCUUUCCAUUAGCCUGCCUUGCAGGGACUUACAACAACCUCACCAGACAAGCUGCGUGCUUCCCUUGUGCUGCAGGGUACUACUGCCCAGAAAAUACUACCAGCUACAGUGUGAAUCCUUGCCCAGCUGGUUUUUACUGUCCUAAAGGAACCAGGUUUGCUACUGAGUUUCCUUGUCCCCGGGGCUACUUUAACCCUGAUCCCAUGACACAGAGCUUGGACAGCUGCUUGCCCUGCCCACCUGGGCACUACUGUGGGAAGGAGAACUUGACAGCUCCAUCAGGCGAGUGUGAUGCAGGUUGGUUUUGCAUCUCUGCUGCUUGGACCUCGCAGCCUUUUGACCUGGAUAACUACACCAGUGCCAACUGCCUCUGCCCAGCUACUGCUACUGGAGGGAAGUGCAUAGCUGGUUUCUAUUGCCCUAGAGGGAGCCCAGAGCCUCUUCCCUGCCAUCCUGGAUUUUACUGCAAUGCUUCAGGUCUGUCUGUGCCUAGUGGGGAAUGUACUGCUGGGUUUUACUGUAAAGGUGGAGCAGUUCUCCCUAAUCCAACAGAUGAUGUGACUGGGAAUAUCUGCCCUGCGGGGACUUACUGCAGCUAUUACUGCGACAACCAGCAAAGGCCAGUUACUGAUGUUACCCUUUACCCCUGCCCUCAAGGCUUUUACUGCCCACCAGGGACAAAGAGGAGCACUCAGUACAGCUGUCCAGUGGGAACGUUUGGCCCAAGGCAAAAACUGAAAACCGUCAAAGAAUGUCAAAGCUGCCCACCAGGAAAAUACUGUGAAUUGUCUGGACUUGCUGCCCCCACAGGUAUAGUGCUGUUCUGCAUAUGUUCACAACCACUGGAGUCCUGCUGA
rnacentral:lncRNA from 1 species